rnacentral:rRNA from 1 species
GAUGAACGCUGGCGGCGUGCCUAAUACAUGCAAAUCGAGCGAACAGACGAGGAGCUUGCUCCUCUGACGUUAGCGGCGGACGGGUGAGUAACACGUGGAUAACCUACCUAAAGACUGGGAUAACUUCGGGAAACCGGAGCUAAUACCGGAUAAUAUAUUGAACCGCAUGGUUCAAUAGUGAAAGACGGUUUUGCUGUCACUUAUAGAUGGAUCCGCGCCGCAUUAGCUAGUUGGUAAGGUAACGGCUUACCAAGGCAACGAUGCGUAGCCGACCUGAGAGGGUGAUCGGCCACACUGGAACUGAGACACGGUACAGACUCCUACGGGAGGCAGCAGUAGGGAAUCUUCCGCAAUGGGCGAAAGCUUGACGGAGCAACGCCGCGUGAGUGAUGAAGGUCUUCGGAUCGUAAAACUCUGUUAUUAGGGAAGAACAAAUGUGUAAGUAACUAUGCACGUCUUGACGGUACCUAAUCAGAAAGCCACGGCUAACUACGUG